GAGUAGGGCGGGACACGUGGUAUCCUGUCUGAAUAUGGGGGGACCAUCCUCCAAGGCUAAAUACUCCUGACUGACCGAUAGUGAACCAGUACCGUGAGGGAAAGGCGAAAAGAACCCCGGCGAGGGGAGUGAAAAAGAACCUGAAACCGUGUACGUACAAGCAGUGGGAGCACCUUCGGGUGUGACUGCGUACCUUUUGUAUAAUGGGUCAGCGACUUAUAUUCUGUAGCAAGGUUAACCGUAUAGGGGAGCCGCAGGGAAACCGAGUCUUAACUGGGCGUUAAGUUGCAGGGUAUAGACCCGAAACCCGGUGAUCUAGCCAUGGGCAGGUUGAAGGUUGGGUAACACUAACUGGAGGACCGAACCGACUAAUGUUGAAAAAUUAGCGGAUGACUUGUGGCUGGGGGUGAAAGGCCAAUCAAACCGGGAGAUAGCUGGUUCUCCCCGAAAGCUAUUUAGGUAGCGCCUCGUGAACUCAUCUUCGGGGGUAGAGCACUGUUUCGGCUAGGGGGUCAUCCCGACUUACCAACCCGAUGCAAACUACGAAUACCGAAGAAUGUUAUCACGGGAGACACACGGCGGGUGCUAACGUCCGUCGUGAAGAGGGAAACAACCCAGACCGCCAGCUAAGGUCCCAAAGUCAUGGUUAAGUGGGAAACGAUGUGGGAAGGCACAGACAGCCAGGAUGUUGGCUUAGAAGCAGCCAUCAUUUAAAGAAAGCGUAAUAGCUCACUGGUCGAGUCGGCCUGCGCGGAAGAUGUAACGGGGCUAAACCAUGCACCGAAGCUGCGGCAGCGACACUAUGUGUUGUUGGGUAGGGGAGCGUUCUGUAAGCCUGCGAAGGUGUGCUGUGAGGCAUGCUGGAGGUAUCAGAAGUGCGAAUGCUGACAUAAGUAACGAUAAAGCGGGUGAAAAGCCCGCUCGCCGGAAGACCAAGGGUUCCUGUCCAACGUUAAUCGGGGCAGGGUGAGUCGACCCCUAAGGCGAGGCCGAAAGGCGUAGUCGAUGGGAAACAGGUUAAUAUUCCUGUACUUGGUGUUACUGCGAAGGGGGGACGGAGAAGGCUAUGUUAGCCGGGCGACGGUUGUCCCGGUUUAAGCAUGUAGGCUGGUUAUCCAGGCAAAUCCGGAUAAUCAAGGCUGAGGUGUGAUGACGAGGCACUACGGUGCUGAAGUAACAAAUGCCCUGCUUCCAGGAAAAGCCUCUAAGCAUCAGGUAACAUCAAAUCGUACCCCAAACCGACACAGGUGGUCAGGUAGAGAAUACCAAGGCGCUUGAGAGAACUCGGGUGAAGGAACUAGGCAAAAUGGUGCCGUAACUUCGGGAGAAGGCACGCUGGUGUGUAGGUGAAGUCCCUGCGGAUGGAGCUGAGACCAGUCGAAGAUACCAGCUGGCUGCAACUGUUUAUUAAAAACACAGCACUGUGCAAACACGAAAGUGGACGUAUACGGUGUGACGCCUGCCCGGUGCCGGAAGGUUAAUUGAUGGGGUUAUCCGUAAGGAGAAGCUCUUGAUCGAAGCCCCGGUAAACGGCGGCCGUAACUAUAACGGUCCUAAGGUAGCGAAAUUCCUUGUCGGGUAAGUUCCGACCUGCACGAAUGGCGUAAUGAUGGCCAGGCUGUCUCCACCCGAGACUCAGUGAAAUUGAACUCGCUGUGAAGAUGCAGUGUACCCGCGGCAAGACGGAAAGACCCCGUGAACCUUUACUAUAGCUUGACACUGAACAUUGAGCCUUGAUGUGUAGGAUAGGUGGGAGGCUUUGAAGCGUGGACGCCAGUCUGCGUGGAGCCAACCUUGAAAUACCACCCUUUAAUGUUUGAUGUUCUAACGUUGGCCCCUGACCGGGGUUGCGGACAGUGUCUGGUGGGUAGUUUGACUGGGGCGGUCUCCUCCCAAAGCGUAACGGAGGAGCACGAAGGUUAGCUAAUCCUGGUCGGACAUCAGGAGGUUAGUGCAAUGGCAUAAGCUAGCUUGACUGCGAGCGUGACGGCGCGAGCAGGUGCGAAAGCAGGUCAUAGUGAUCCGGUGGUUCUGAAUGGAAGGGCCAUCGCUCAACGGAUAAAAGGUACUCCGGGGAUAACAGGCUGAUACCGCCCAAGAGUUCAUAUCGACGGCGGUGUUUGGCACCUCGAUGUCGGCUCAUCACAUCCUGGGGCUGAAGUAGGUCCCAAGGGUAUGGCUGUUCGCCAUUUAAAGUGGUACGCGAGCUGGGUUUAGAACGUCGUGAGACAGUUCGGUCCCUAUCUGCCGUGGGCGCUGGAGAAUUGAGGGGGGCUGCUCCUAGUACGAGAGGACCGGAGUGGACGCAUCACUGGUGUUCGGGUUGUCAUGCCAAUGGCACUGCCCGGUAGCUAAAUGCGGAAGAGAUAAGUGCUGAAAGCAUCUAAGCACGAAACUUGCCCCGAGAUGAGUUCUCCCUGA
rnacentral:rRNA from 1 species